GAUGAACGCUAGCGGCAGGCCUAAUACAUGCAAGUCGAACGGUGUAGCAAUACACAGUGGCGCACGGGUGCGUAACACGUAUGCAACCUACCUUACAUUGGGGGAUAGCCUUUCGAAAGGGAGAUUAAUACCGCAUAAGACAGUAACUAGGCAUCUAGUAGCUGUUAAAGAUUUAUCGAUGUAAGCUGGGCAUGCGUCCAAUUAGUUAGUUGGCGAGGUAAUGGCUCACCAAGACGAUGAUUGGUAGGGGAACUGAGAGGUUAAUCCCCCACACUGGCACUGAGAUACGGGCCAGACUCCUACGGGAGGCAGCAGUAGGGAAUAUUGGGCAAUGGGCGCAAGCCUGACCCAGCCAUGCCGCGUGCAGGAAGAAGGCGUUAUGCGUUGUAAACUGCUUUUAUACAGGAAGAAACGACCCUUGCGAGGGGCAUUGACGGUACUGUAUGAAUAAGCACCGGCUAACUCCGUGCCAGCAGCCGCAGUAAAAC
rnacentral:rRNA from 1 species